CAGUCGCCACGGUAAUACGUAGGGUGCGAGCGUUAAUCGGAAUUACUGGGCGUAAAGCGUGCGCAGGCGGUUGUGUAAGACAGGUGUGAAAUCCCCGGGCUCAACCUGGGAAUGGCAAUGGAUACUGGCAAGCUAGAGUGUGUCAGAGGAUGGUGGAAUUCCCGGUGUAGCGGUGAAAUGCGUAGAGAUCGGGAGGAACAUCAGUGGCGAAGGCGGCCAUCUGGGACAACACUGACGCUGGGGCACGAAAGCGUGGGGAGCAAACAGGAUUAGAGACCCCUGUAGUCCCUGUCUCUUAUAC
rnacentral:rRNA from 1 species